GUCAAUUGCAUCUAUUUCUGCUGGUGUUUAAGCUGAAAGUACCAUUGAGUAUGCAACUUAAAACUAUGCAUAAUUUACACACAAGAACUGCUUCAGAUAAGGCCUAAUUACUCUGAUGCCUGUAUAAAGCUUUUUAAGAGAAACUAUGUGUUUUAGAUUAGUCUUCAACUUCGAGGCCUGUCUGAACUCUUUCCAUUUCCAUUAUUAUGCAGGCCCUACAAAUCCAAUUUAAAGUAGUGCUCUGAACUAGAUGAAUUUUAUGUCUGAGCCUGUGAAGCUUAUGUUAGAAGUGCAACCUGUAACAAAACACUGCAGUUAAGAAAUACAGUGUUCAGGAUAAUCCUUUCAAGCACAUAGCCAUCAUUGGGCUUUUUGUUGAGAGGUUCUAAGGAUUUGUUUAUACCUCUGUGAAACCUUGUGUUUUUCUCAGAACAACUGAUAUCUCACUUCAUUUGGUUAGAAAGGGCUCCAGAAAAGGUUCCCCCUAUUUCCAUUAAUUUCCUAUGUGACUGAGGAUGCUAAACAGAUUAAUUUCUCCAGGUUCCAGAAAGAUCCUAGGAAUUAAGAAUUCAAAGAUGAGGAAUAAUUCAUUCUUUAAAAGCAUCAUUUAUGAAAUAAGAAUUAUUUACAAGAAGCAGGAAAAUUGAGAGGGAGUAUAAGCAGAAUAUAUUAUUGUAAUUUACAAGGAAGAAAAGGAAAGGAAUAUCCACAGACAAACUAAAAAGUUCAACUGACAUUCCAUAAAAGUGUGUAAGCUUCAGAUUCUUCAUCAAGCAAAUUACACACAGAGAAGCAAGGAAAUAAAAAAAAUUGACUAGUUGAGUCUGUAGUUAAACCCAGCACCAAGAUUUCUGGUUGUUACUGGGAGGCAUACAUAUUUAUAAUUAUACCCUGGAAAAAAGAAGAAACAGUGGGUUUCUAUUUCCAAAAUUGCAAUGUUGACAGUAAUUCAAAGACUUGUCUUGCACCAUAAGUGAAAUAUGUAUGUUCCUGAAGUAGUAUGAAGUGGGCUUACAAGAACACCAUCCUAAAUAAUCAAAGCUGCAGAUUCAGUAUUAAGUUUUAUAUUAGAUAACAAAUCAACUGAGUUCAUAUUGUAAGAACAAUCAUGUAUCCAGAGUGUUUUACAGAUGAAAAAAUAAACAUAUUUCUCUCUUCCAGCAUAAAUAGCAUAUUCUCAGUGUCAUGACAUUUCUUCAUUUUAAAUAUAUACGUAACAGAGUGUCUGCCAGUGAAGUCAUCCUAUUUGAAACCCACUCUACUGUUGCAAACCUUACCUCUCUCGCUAUACUUGGGGUGGUAGCAGGAUCUGGCACCAAUAAGGAAAUGUGUUAUUCUUGCUAAAAAUGAACAGCUGGUUUGAAAAUGCAAAAUGUGCACAUAAUGGCAAGCAAAAGAAAGCCUUUUUGGAACUAAAAACUUUUAAAAACUAGAAAGUGUCCACAAAUUAAAUAGAAUUCCUUGAGAAGGCGAUCUUAGCCAAGCUAUUCUACGCUACUUUUUAAAUAAUUAUAAAAAACCUAGAAGUUACAGUAUUCAAAUAUUUUCAAAUAAAUUAUCUUUGCAAUCCUCAUAAAAACCCUACAGGGUGGGAAAUAUCAGAAUCUUGCAUAUGAGAGGGCUGAGGUGAAAGAUAGUGACUAGCCUUAGGCUACCUAAUUAGUUCAGUUGAAAUUUUAAUUGAGGAUUUCCUGCCGCAUAUUACCAGCUUAAGUGGCUACCUGACUGCUCCCAGGCUUUAAUGGUUUUAAAAAGGAGUGUUGUGCAGAAAAAUUAAUUAACAUUUCUGGUUUUGUCUUCUGCAUAUUUGAUUAUUCAAACAUUCAUCAAUUUGAUUAAAAGUGUUCUUUCCUAGAAAUAUUUAGGUCCUACAAUGUGACUCAGUGGUCAGAUUCCUCCUGUCAUGCUGGAAGACCUAAAGAUUUCUAGAGAACACCUCUUUAGAAAUCUCUAGGUUGUCCAGUAAGAUUAUAUGGUCAGUGGAAGGGGACUUUCCUCCAGUCAUAGUGCAAGACUGGAAAUUCAUAGAUAAAACAAAAUAGCAUUUUUUAGUUUCACAGGGGUCUUGUGUUCCUAACCCCAGCAAAUGUGAAGGGCUAACUGAUUUACUUUCAAAAUUACUUUUAUACACACACUACAUAUGGACAUCUUCAACUAAUAUUGUUUAUGAAACCUUCCUGAAAGUGUAACAACUGAUGUAAAAGAAACCUAAGACUCACAUGAAAUACAGUAAGACAAUGAACAGAUUGAGACACUCUCAGGAUUUUUUUUCCAUAUCAGGAAUGACUUGAGAAACUGCAAGUCACUUCUGGUGUGAGAAAAUUGGCUGUCUGCAAGGACGUUACCCAGAGGACGCCCGGAUGUUUGAUGUUUUACCAUCCUGUGGGUGACUUCUCUCAUAUCCCCGCAUGGGGAGCUAGAGCUGAAGAGGGAGCUCACCCCAUUCCCCGGAUUCGAACCGCCAACCUUUCAGUCAGCAGUCCUGCCGGCACAAGGGUUUAACCCAUUAGACCACCGGAGGCUUCACUUUCAAGAUGAAGGGUAUUUGAGGAUUCUCAAAACAGUUUACAUUUUCCAUCUGGGUCAGAGCACCUGAAGAGGGAGUCAGUGGGGUUACAAAGCAAUUCCAGCUGGAAUAUAAUCCUGCAAACAUCCCAAUACUGCCAAUAUGAAUUUAAGGGGUGAGGGAAGGCACUUCCCCAGAAUCUUCUGUUAUAAAAAGGGUAAGCCAGACCUGCCACAGAAUGCUAUCUAUUCAAUAUUCCAGACACUCCAUUACAUUCCCUCUCUUCACUGGUUUCCUAUCCCCUUCCUAGCUGUCAGCAUUCUGUUCUUGCUGAGCACACUCAGUCUCCCUCAAUGGUCUGGUUUCUUUCUACCUUAGGUUCCCACAAACAGUUUAUUUCAGGAUUCAUCAGACUUUGCUAAAAUCUCCUUCUCAUACUUUAUAUGUAACAAAACAAAACCUGGAAAAGAGCUUUGGAUUUGAACUCCCUAAAUUGGCAUGAACACAAACUGGCUGGGGGAUUCUAGGAAUUAUUUCCUCAAAAGUAGCUUUUACUAGCUCUCCUUGGUCUUUACUGAGAGAAGUUUGAUCACAGUUAAUGUAUAAUUGUUUUUGGUACUACUGAAAAGCAAUCAAAAAUAUAUAUCUGAAACAAUGCAAGGCAUAUGCAAUAUAUGAAGGACGUAGGAAUAUUUCUUCAAACACAGAUAACCCUCAGAUCUGAAAGGUGGAGAGAUUUCCAGUGGCUGCCAAUGUGUGUCUAUGCUUGUAGAAUGCAAAUUCUAUUUUAUUCGCUACUUCCACCCCUUUAUAUCAGGCUGCUGUCUUUAAAAGCAUGCCUACUUGUGAGCAUUCAGUCCCUCUCAGGGUAAAUUCACCCACUCUUUUGAUGAUGACAGAGACAGUUCUGAGCUUGAAGAGAUUAAAUAACUCCCUUCAAACAGCAGAAAAAUGUGCUGUUAAACUACAACUUCCCCCAACAUUUUUUAUUGCCAAGGCUCCAUGAAUGAGCUGCAUAUCCACACCCAAAAGAAAUAAAUCACAGCUUUCCAACUAGCAGAUAAGCUACUCGUAAGAGAAGGAGCUGCCAUCAUGGGUAUUAUCCUCUGUAGAGAUCCCUAUAAGCAUCUUCGGCAUUUUCCAGAUAGUUGGCAAUACCCUUAAGAAGAUAUGACUGCAGUCUUAAAUGUUCUGCGGCAUCCUAAAAACCAGCUCCAGAGGACUAGGAAAUUCCUUGGAACAAGGUUUUUGGCACCAAAGAAGACUGCAGUAGAAAGUAGAGGAGAGCGAACUUCCAUCUGUUGCCAAUAUUGGAUAUGAAACCAGUGGUUCUUGUGGCCCCAUUUUUAUUUAUUUUUCUGUUUCUCACCAUCUUUUCAUUUUGCUUCACUCUCCUUUUAAAUAUAUAUAUAACUUUUAAAAAGUAAUGCAUAAAUGGUCACUAGAAAAGGCCACAGCAAUCUUUUCUUUUGGUGCAUAAACCUGGAAUAUUUUUACCAUCAGAAGUAGGUUGUCAGGCUGCAAGAGAAAAAUUACAGGCACAACAACCACAAGAGGAGAGCUUUCCAAAUUGUGUGUCAUGGCAUGUUAGUGUGCCGGCUGCAGUGUGUAGAUGUGUUGUGCAAAUGUAACAAGAAACCUUAAGCAAUACAUCAUAUAUUUAAAUACAGUAGAGUCUCACUUAUCCAACAUUCGCUUAUCCAACGUUCUGGAUUAUCCAACACAGUCGGCCUUUUAGUAGUCAAUGUUUUGUAGUCAAUCUUUCCAAUACAUUGUGAUGUUUUGGUGCUAAAUUCGUAAAUACAGUAAUUACUACAUAACAUUGCUGUGUAUUGAACUGCUUUUUCUGUCAAAUUUGUUGUAAAACAUGAUGUUUUGGUGCUUAAUUUGUAAAAUCAUAAUGUAAUUUGAUGUUUAAUAGGCUUUUCCUUAAUUCCUCCUUAUUAUCCAACAUAUUCGCUUAUCCAAAGUUUUACUGGCCCAUUUAUGUUGGAUAAGUGAGACUCUACUGUAUUUAUAAAUGAAAGAUUUUCAUGAGAUAUGUUGUGCCCCAUACAUUUUGUUAUUAUAAUUUAUGUAUGUGUUUAUAUAGCUGAUAAAGGGUUGGUUUAACCUCUGGUUUGCUAGUAUAACCAAUCUACUGUGUUGCGAAAAAAAGUAUUUCUAAAAAGUGUGUCACCAACAUAAAAUGUUUGGAAAGCAGUGCACUAGAGAAACAGGAUAUUCAAAGCCUACAGAUUUUACUCUCCUUUCCUUGCUACAGCUGUUUCACCCUGGAGAAAGAACAACUUAUGAAAGACAGUGCACCAUCUCCCAAAUAUCUGCACAAAUGAAACAAACUAUUAAUGUUGUUGUUUUCUUUUUCAAAACUCUGACCUGUGACUUUUUCACAAAUGAGAUCAAAGCACUUGCACAGUAAAAACAUAAUACAAUCCAUAAAAUAUAAUUACUACAAAGCUAUAUUUCCUAAUCAAAUAUCACAAAGAAAAAAAUACAUUAUGGGGAAUAGUUAUAAAGUAGCUACAUGGAGGAACCAACUGAAAACCUUGUGGAAGCCAUGUUUUCGUCAGAUGUCUAAAAGAAUAAAAUGUCAGGAUCUAAAGAACUUCUCUUGGGAAAGCAUUCCACAAUAGCGUUACUACUGAAAACACCCUGCUGGCCAUAGAGUAUGGAGCAAGACCUCUGAAACUGAUGAAACACAUAGAAAGGGAAAUAUUUAAUAUGGCGGCCCUUCAGAUGCUUCGAACAAAUGAUGAAAUAAGCUUACCUGUAUUUGUCAUAUAUUUGUGGCAACUAGUGGCAUCCACAUCAGUGCAACAGUGAAUCCACUCUGAGUUUUUGCCUGAACUUCCAAGGAUCUAUCGAGCAUGGUGAACCCUAUCCCACAAACAGAUUCAGCACGUUGAAUAAAUCAUUGAAAGGGCAGACUAAGAAUGGCUGCACUAUCCCACAGUUGAAGUGACUACAAAUUUGUCCCACAGUAGAAAGUGACAAACGAAUUGAUAAAAGCUAAUGUAGAAACAAAUAGAUCAAUCCGACCUGUGAUACUGUUAAAAUAUGGUUCUCCAAAACACUAGAUAAGAUAGUAAAAAGAAGGAGUAGGAUCCUUUAUGUCAAAAGAGGUACACUUGAAUUAGUAAUAAAUGUAUUUUGCUUGUCUUUUAGUUUCAUCUGCUACUUUUUGUUUAAAAUAUUUUCCUUAGUCUGUGGAAGAAGACUUAUUGUGGAAGCUGUCACCCAUGGUCUGAAGGGGUGCAACCCCAGCCAUGGUAUUCUAAUGAUUAGAUCAGGACAAGACAAUGUAUAGUGUUCCAUGUUUUAACAAACUAUAUUUCCAAUCAGUUUUAGUCAACAUAUAACCAAUAGUGAUGGGUGAUGGCAGUUGCAAUCCAACCUCUAGAGAACCAUAUGUUCCCUGUUCCUAAUUUAGAAUGCUAGACUGAGACCAGGAAUACUCAUCUUCACAUCCUGACUCAGACAGGUCAGCCACUGUUUCUCAGCCUAUGUUAUGAGGGUAAAAGUGGUUUGGAGGGAAUAACAUUGUGUACUUGCUCUAACUUUUGGAGAAGAUACAGUAUUUUGGAGACUGUAACUGCCUCUAAACCCCAUACAGAUAAAAAAUGUUAUACUGUAUAUAAAUAUAUAUAACCAUUAUGAUUGCACAAGGCAGAUAACGUGGAACUGCAUUUGUGCCUUCUAUGGCAGCUUACCACAGUACAGUCCUACCUUGACUUAUGAGGUUAAUUCAUUCCUUGUCUGAGCUCUUAACUCAAAAUGCUCUUAUCUCAAUGUGAAUUUUUGUACUGAAAUGCUAUUAAUCCGUUCCACUAAAAAAAUUGAUACGUGUGUUCAGAUAAGAUACACUUUAUAAAUAACAAAUAAUAUAUAAAUAAACAUUCUUUAUGCUGCACAAUAA